GAUGAACGCUGGCGGCGUGCCUAACACAUGCAAGUCGAACGGAGCUGCUUUGAUGAAGUUUUCGGAUGGAUUUAAAACAGCUUAGUGGCGGAAGGGUGAGUAACGCGUGGGUAACCUGCCUCACACUGGGGGAUAACAGUUAGAAAUAGCUGCUAAUACCGCAUAAGCGCACAGUUCCGCAUGGAACAGUGUGAAAAACUCCGGUGGUGUGAGAUGGACCCGCGUCUGAUUAGCCAGUUGGCGGGGUAACGGCCCACCAAAGCGACGAUCAGUAGCCGGCCUGAGAGGGUGAACGGCCACAUUGGGACUGAGACACGGUCCAAAAUCCUACGGGAGGCAGGAGUGGGGAAUAUUGCACAAGGGGGGAAACCCUGAUGCAGCGACGCCGCGUGAGUGAAGAAGUAUUUCGGUAUGUAAAGCUCUAUCAGCAGGGAAGAAAGUGACGGUACCUGAAUAAGAAGCCCCGGCUAACUACGUGCCAGCCGCCGCCGUAA
rnacentral:rRNA from 1 species